UAACCUGCCCAAGAGAUCGGGAUAACACCUGGAAACAGAUGCUAAUACCGGAUAACAACAGAUGAUGCCUAUCAACUGUUUAAAAGAUGGUUCUGCUAUCACUCUUGGAUGGACCUGCGGUGCAUUAGCUAGUUGGUAGGGUAACGGCCUACCAAGGCGAUGAUGCAUAGCCGAGUUGAGAGACUGAUCCGGCCACAGUUGGGACUGAGACACCGGACCCAAACUCCGUACGGGGAGGCAGCAGCC
rnacentral:rRNA from 1 species